rnacentral:lncRNA from 1 species
ACAAUCAAGGUAAGAUCUAAAACCCUUUCACAUGUUAAUAUGAUUAAUUGUAUGCUAGAACUAGGGUUUAAAGUCUUGGAUGAAUUCCAUGUAUAAUAGAGAAACCUAGAUCCAAGCAUUAGGGUUUGCAUGAGCACAUAGGAUGUUCUUAUGGAUAAAAACCAUCAGUGGUAUCAGAGCCUUGAUUGGUUUCUAUUGUAUUGAUGCUUAUUUGAUCGAAAUCAUCACUUAAAAUCGAAAUUUUUUGCUUCUGAGUGUUUGACUCGCGGAGUCACUUGGUGAACUCGUCGAGUCAGCUAUACUCAACGAGUCCCAGUCCAGACUCGACGAGUCAAAGGGUCUGACAGCUCGUUUUCGCGAUUUUCUUCCUGUUUUGGCUUUGGAUAAUUACCAUAAACAUGUUUUUAUAAUAAAAUCCAAAUUUUAUCAAUAUUUGGUGAUUAUCCUUACCAAAAUAGAAGAUAAUUGUCAAAAUUUAGAUAAUCAUUUGUUCUAUUAGAUAAAGUUUGAUUAUUUGUAAUUUAGAUUUGAAUUAUCUUGUGAAAAAGUUUCAAUUUUCCCCCUUUAGGUUUUAUAGUUUAAAUUUGAACUUAAAAGUUUUGUUUUUGAAAUUUAAAUAAGUUAAACCCUAAUGUUUUGAAAUGGUUCAAAACUUGCCCUCAAGUUUCGGAAUUUAAAAGUUGAUUAAAAGUUUAAUUUAGAAAUGUUAAAUUCUAAAACCCUAGUAUAGUUUUGAAAAGUUCAAAUCGCACCCUUAUGGUUUUAUUAAUUAAUUAAAGUGUAUAAUUAAAAGAGAUUUAAUAAAUCCAUAAAGUUUUGGUUUACAAUUUAAUUAAAUUAAAAGUAUAAUUAUUAAAUUUGACCACCUAGUAUUUUAAAAGUGUAAAAUACACCCUAUACUAUAUAUAACAUUAAAAGUCUAACAUUAUAUAUAUGUAUGAGUAAAAGUCAGUCUUACCGUUAGUAGGCCUCAUUCACGAAGCUGGUCUAUAAGGGGUGUUUAAGGAAAUUGCCUAUAAAAUGGCGAUUGAAUGGGUAUCCACUCUUACCCACCGCACUCUUGACUAGUGGAGGGUCGUUAGCCGAACGGGUAGGAUAGGACGAAACCUUCCAUUAUAAGUAUAAUGAAUUAUUAAAGUAACUAAAUGUUUUCAUAAAAUUCCCAAUCUUAGUUACUUAGGCAAAAGUGAAUUGAUGCAAUUCCAUGAAAUUACACUUUGUGCCCUUGCGAAGACGUUAGUGGAGCGUGUGUGGUUUACCGGCACACUAAAUGGUUCUAAGCAAAGGUAGCAAAGGGUGACUCAAUGUUUGUCAUAGUUCGGUGGAGCGUGUGUGGUUUACCGGCACAUCGAAUAGGUGACUGUAACAUGUGAGGGCACCAUGUAAGUUUGCAUGGUUAUUCACACCCGCUUUGUGAUCCUCGGCAUCCCAGUCACAAACAAGAGGGGCAUAUCGAGAUUUAAACAUGCCAUUGAAAUGUUCAAUGAAUCUCAAAGGAUCUAGGAGUUUUCAUAGAUUUAAAACUUAAAUUUCUUUUUCGUUUUUCAUGGUGGAAAUUAGUGAAUCGUCAUUCACUUACCUUCAAAUGUUCUGCAAUUUGGGUUACGACAUCCCUCUCCCGAGUUGUAGAAUAUUGUGUUGGGUCCUAGCCUUAGUAUCUCAUUUGGGUGAUUUACUAAGGACUCAAUCAAUCAACUAACUUGAAUUCGUUUUCUCCCGUUUUGUAGAUGUCAAAGUUCGACAACUAUGGUCUUCCCAAAUCCCGUGGAACAAGCUUUCCACAUGAAGAUGAUAUUCCACGAUUCGAUCGAGGAACAAGAAAUCAUGCUUCACUUCCUCCACCUCCUCCAAUUAUUCUCCCUAACCCACAAGUUCAAAGGCUUGAAAAGUUCAAGAUCACUCAAGCCCUUUUGGCAAGUAAACUAAAGAAGGAAAGUCGGUGUGUGCACACGUCCUAGGGAUGAAGUCACACAUUGAUAGGUUAAGAAUGAUGGGAUCUAUUGGUGAGGAGAUGGCUGUUGAUUGGGUUCUUCAGUCGCUUCCUAACUCGUAUAGUGAGUUCGUAAGAGAGUACUAUAUGAUGAACCACGAUGUGACCCUUAUAGAUCUCACCUACAUGCUUAUUGCUGCUGAAUCAGCGAUGGUUUGGCGCACUGGAAAAGCAAAAUUGAUUGGUAAAUCUACCUUCGAGACCUCUAUGGAUAUAUGCAAUGGAAACAAAAGGCAUGCCAUGAUCGAAAAGUUUGAUCAUAAGAGAAAGGCAAAGUCUGAAGUAGUUCCAUGUGUUGUUCCAAAAGAGUCAAUUUGCUUUUAUUGCCAAGAGAAGGGGCAUUGGAGACGAAGCUGCCCUAUUUACCUAAGAGAUCUAAGAGAUGGGAGAGUCAAAACGUAUGGCUCUACUUUAGGUAAAAUUCAUUAACUAACUCUUUUAAGUUCCUAUUCUAGAUUUUUAAUACAUGAUGUGAUAAGAUUACAAUUGAUGUGUUAUAGGAUCAAAGAAAAGGAGAAGAAGCUUAAGGGAAGAAGUGAGCGGAAUCUAAUCGUGAAGAAAUGGAUUUUGAUCGCAUUGCUUGAACAUUGGAUUCUUGAGCUACUACUUAGAGUUAGAAACGAUUGCUAAGAAAUAUGUAUUAACAUAGUUUUUUGAUGAAUUGCAUUGUAAGGACAAAUUUUUCCGCAAUAAAAUAAAAAUUUGUUUUUAUAUUAUUUAUUUAUCCUUACAAUGGCAUGCAUGAAAAAAAAUUGAUGUUUGAAGAUUUUUAUUAUUAUCAAUAAUGGAUUUGAUUCUUAAUUAUGUUAUUUGUGGAAAGGUCAAGAAUUUACCAAAUAGGGAAAGUUUCUCAUCACCCAAGUUUCAAUUGGAAAGAAACUUGGAAUCAUACAACAAGUAUUGCAUGAUCAAUGAGAAGUUUCAUAUUUGGAAAUUAGACUAAUUCGUUGACAACAUGUCAAGUGAAGGACUAAGAGAUCAAGUACACAAGGUUGCGUGUUGAUCAAGUCCACCACAAGAGUGACAAAGAUAUUCGUCAUGAUUUACUAAAGGUUUAGUGGAUAUGAUUAUACUUAUAAGAUUAAGUAUAAUUCCGAGUUGAUUUGAAAGAGUUUAAAUCAAUAGCAGAACGAAUAAGAAGAAUCAAGUAGGCAGAAAGAUAAAAGUUUCUCUAUUCUAAGAAGAAGGGAGAGUACCUUUUAUUAUGUUUUAUGAUAGGUCUUAAUGAUUAAGAACCAUAUCUUAAUUGAACCUCUAAAUGAGUCUUAGUGCAAUUGUAUGUCUGAGAAGAGGAAUCAAGAAUUGAAGAAAUGGUUAAAUCAAGAAUUCAAUCAUACUUCGUUCCAAAAACAAAUCUUAGAGUUAAGAUUGUGACUUUGAGUGACAAGUCUUAAGAAGGUUUAUAAAAAUCAUAAAAUGUGGAAAGUUGUGAUGUCUUGGAUAAGACAAAGACCAACUAGGACCAAUUUUAUGAAGUGUUCUGUCUUGAUAAAAGCUACACUAACUCUUGAAUAUUUGUUUGUCAAUAAAUGUUUAUUGACAAGAGAAUCUUAUAUGUCAAGGAGUCAGUGGGAGUCUUAAUGGUCUUGAAAGGGUUCAAGAACAAAUCAAUAAUAAACCUUAUCGAACAUCACUAGCACACGACUUGAGCUUUACAACCUAUCGUGUUGACCCUAUCUUGUUUCUGUGUCGUUCCAAUUGAGUUAAUUAUGCAUGUAAGUUCUAUGAGAUCUCAUGUGAACACAUAAAAGGCAAGCACCUUGAUCAAUGAAAAGUACAUUGAUAAGAAAUGGUGAGAUGCUUAAUUACUUGGAAGACAUGGUGGCAACUCGUGUUACCAUAAGGCAAGAAAUCAAGAUUGAGAAAGUUCGGUCCAUAUGAGUUUGGAUUUGUCGCAAACUUUGGUUUUGGCAAAUUCGCAUGAACAGGAACUCAUACACCAUAAAAUCUAAGUGUCAUAAGAUUACCUCCUUCAUGAGAAUGACUGUGAGGAAAUGCUUUCACUAAGAGAGAUUUUAAGAAGAUAGUGAUUGCAAAAUUGAAUUCUCGAACUCGAUUAUGGUUACGGUAUCCCUUUCCAUAAUUCGAAUUGUGAGAUUUGGCAAUUAGUCUGAAUUAGAAAUAUGAACUUAAGAAAUUCAAUAAGUAUUGUUUUCUGGAAGUUAAGUUGUUUUCUGAAUACAUGUCAUAGCUAGUGGGAGCAUAAGUGUUAUGCUUAUAUAAUAAUAAUCAUCAUGAUAGUGGGAGCAUAAAUGUUGUGCUUGUAUGAUUAUUAAAACAAGUAUUGCAUGUUAGCAAUUUAAAUUAUAGAAAACAAGAGUUAUACUUUGCAAAGUCGUAAGGAUUGAAUAGUUGUUUUGCUAUAAUUAAGGGAGAGAAUAUUAUGCUUCGUUUCAAAAUCUAAAGCUUACAUUAAGAAAUUUUAAUAAAUUUAGUCAAAGGAUACAUAGUGUGUUCUUAAAUUUCGAUUAUGAUUACGGUAUCCCUCUUCAUAGUUCGAAUGGUAAGAACGAGACACAUAAAAUAUUAUGGCAGAAGAUUGAUGAAGUAUCAGAUCUUUAUAUAAGACAUUAUGCAUCGUGUCCCAUACGCUUCGGGUAUAGGAUUGAUUGCAAAUGCUAUAAUAUUGAUCAUUCUAAAAUUUUCCAAAUGUCUAGCGCGUUUAGAGGGAAAAAGGACUAGAAUCGGUUUUGACUAAGAUAAUUAAACAACUAUCAAAGGACGAUCCAAAGUUCGCCGAGGAUUGGUCGCUUGUGAGUAGUUGGAAGUAUAGGAUUGGAUGGACCAUAUCGACAUUAUUAUGAAUAGAUAAGAUUCUAUUAAGAAUGAGUUGUCAUAUGGAAAAUAUGGAAAUGGUUCCAUAUUAGGAGUUGGAUAUUGAGAGUCUAUGUCUAGAUUAGAAAAUUUUAUGCAAAAGGAUGUUCAAGGAAUGUACUUUGAGUGAGAGACAUCACGUCUAUGGAAUUGUAUUGUAACAAUCUCAGAUAGAGGACUUUGUAAUUUCAUUGGCAAUAGUCAUUGUGACUUUUGUACUAUGACAUUAUGAAAGGAUCAUUGCAUAAAAUGUUAAAAUCUAGCAUAUUCUAUAAGCGGUAAGAAUUUGAUAUUCUUUCACUUGUGAAAAAGGAUUAGGAGUUGUGAAAUGAGUAUGAUUGGAAAUGUGUUCAUUUGAUCUAUUUCACAAAGUAAGAACCAUAGGUAAACAUUGUGUGCAUGCUAAGAGCAUGGGACAAGUGUAGUAAUAAUUCAAGUAAGAAGUUGAUUACCCGAAACAACAAAUAAUGAGUAAUCAAUAUGGUGAUAAAUAAAAGGUGUUUUAUUUAUACUCAAAGGUUUGAGGCCAUAUGGGAUUAGUAUUAUUCUUGUGUUUCACUUUGCAUGUUUUGACUUCCUGAAUAAUUUAAUUGGUUCAAAACAGUCAAAUUAUUCGAACGGACCACAGUCGUUCAUAUGUUGGAAGUAGGUAUGAAUGAAGACUGUCGUGAAUUGGUGUGUGGAUUGUCUAAAGUGUAUUAGACAUAAGCAAAUGUUUGCUGCAACGUUCAUGAGUGCUUAUGAAUAUGAUUUGAGCAUUGGAUUAAACCCACACUCACUUGGAUCACUUCAUGAAUUGUAUCACGAGUGAUUGGUGAGACGAUAACAUCUUAUAUUCUUGAAACCGAGAUGUGUGAGUUGUAUCUUGCGAGUCGGUUGCACAUUGAUAAUAUGUAAACGCACUAGUAACUUGGUGUUAUAAAACAUAUUGUUGUGUGUGAUUCGGUGAGUGAGUGCAAGCAAGCAUUGUAUCAAAGUUUAUCCGUUCCUUUUAUCCAAAGUAGGAUAAAAGCGAUAUCUUUGGGCCCCUCGAUGAUUUAGUGAUGGCACCUAAGCGCUUGGCCGAGCCAAGACUAAUUUGAUGUGAUCAAUUGUAGUAUGUUGUCAGUCAUCAUAAAUCGGAAGUCGGGAAAUAGUAUAGAGAGAAUGAUUAUAAUUCAUGUCUUAUAUCUAUACGAUAUCUAGAAUGGAGGAAUAUAUGAUCCCUUAUCUAAAGGAAACGCGUAUAUGAUAAGCUCAGAGUUGACAACGGCUUUGGAAAGCUACAAUUGCAGAUCAGGAUCUGAAGUNNNNNNNNNNNNNNNNNNNNNNNNNNNNNNNNNGUUGGAUUAGUGUCUAAGUCCAUAACUAUUUUGGUAUGUACUUGACCCGAUGGUGCAUGGUCCUUUUGGGUUGCCUUCACCAAAGCAACUUGAUAGGAUGAAUUAUGGAGAGAAAGGAUUAAUUAUGAUUUAUUAAUAUAUUAUGAGAAUAAUAUAUUAAAGGAGAAAUCAUAUUGUUUAAUUAAUAUUAGUCAAGAAUUAAUAAGAAUUAAGUUUGUGGCUAAAAGACAUUAAUUAAAAUUAAGGGAAUAGAACUGUCAAUUGUGUGAUAGUUGAAUAUUGGGCUAAUGGACUCGAUAUUAGAGGGGUGGACGAAUUAAAUCAUCCUAGGCCUCUAAGGAGGGAGGCCAUGGGUUGCUUAGGGCCUAAGCAUCCAAAUUAGGGUUUCCUUGUUAGAUAACCCUAAUAGUCUCACUAUUUAAAGGACCCUUGAGACUCAAAAACGUGGUGAACUUAUUCCUUUGGGUUUCCACACGUUUUGGGCAGCCUCCCCUCUCCUUAUUCUUCAUCCUCUUGAUCUUGGUGUUUGUGAGCCAUUAGAGGAGUGAUAUUUGUGACUCUAAGCUUUCUAAAGCCAUUACAAGGAGGAUUUGUGAUUAUUAUUGCUACAUGACAAUCAAGGUAAGAUCUAAAACCCUUUCACAUGUUAAUAUGAUUAACUGUAUGCUAGAACUAGGGUUUAAAGUCUUGGAUGAAUUGCAUGUACAAUAGAGAAACCUAGAUCCAAGCAUUAGGGUUUGCAUGAGCACAUAGGAUGUUCUUAUGGAUAAAACCCAUCAGAAGUCACCAUCAAUAGGGAUUUCCAUCAUCUUGAUAAAACACUCAUACUAACAACAUCUUAAGUACAUAGAAAGGAUAAAAUUAUAUACAGGAUAUUAUCAUACAUAGUACUAAUUAUAUCACAAAACCACCAAUGUCUCAUGUAACUUAGUUUCAUCAUAAUCUCGUAUAAAUAAUAGCAUGCUAAUUAUUUUUAGAUAGCAAGUCAAUAAUCUCAUUGUUUUAGUUUCUUCCAAUGUUAAGGGCUCCUAAGAUCAACAAAAUAAAUCAUCAAAAAAAAAUAAUAAUUUUUCAUGUUGGGUGAAAAAAAUCAAUAAUGUUUUUAUUUCUUAAAGGAUGAAUAAAAAAU